UCUUGUAUUAAGAGUCCUCUUCAAUCAGCAUUGGAACUAUUGGUAAUAAUUUGGAAGGCAAUAAGAUUGUGACAAAGCCACCUAGGGGCACUUAUUGGAAGACUCAGUCAGCCAUGUGUCAAGUGGAAGCAUACCAGGAGAUGUCCCAUUGGUGAUGAAUGUCACUUUGCUCAUGGAGAUGCUGAGGUACAAAUUCUCGGUGGAGGCGUUGAAGCUGAAGCUGAGUUGAUGAGACCUGAUCUUGAUGAGGAUUCUUCUCUAUGAUGAAUGGAGUUCAAUUCAUGUUAGCCAAACAAAUAUCCUGCAAGUGAUAUGCAUCUGGCUGGUUGUUGGAGCCUGAAUAUUAAGAUGUUUCUCUAGUGUGAUUCUCAUAAUUAUCUUUCUACAAUUAUCCUUGGAGAAUAA